UUAAUCUCUUUGGCAACACAUAUACUCAAAUUGGAAAGAUACAGAAAAGAUUAGCAUGGCCCCUAGGCAAGGAUGACAGGCAAAUUCUUGAAGCAUUCCAUAUGUUU
rnacentral:snRNA from 1 species